GAUUUAUGAUUAUUUCAUUAAAAUAAAAAGGUAAAACGCCAGUGUUGCAUACAUAAGUAUAAUAUAUGUAAGUAUAAAUUUUUUCCAAACUAACAGCGAGCGGCCAAGUAGCUAGGCUGGUCUGCAUUGGUCGCGACAGUCUGUAUUCUCAGUACACUUUAAUCAUUAACUGGAUAAACAUCGUUGCAAACUUUUCUUGGUACUGAUUUUAUAUAAAUUAUGAUUAACAGUCAAAAAUUCGAUGUCGAUUAUUGUAAACUUCAGAUUCUCAUUCGAUGAUAUUCGAGAUGUUUCGAUUUAUCGCCGGUUUAUGACGCGGUACAAGUAUCAAUUAAAAAGAUGAAAUAUUUUAAUAAUACAAAAUGACAUUUGACUGUGAAUUUUGUGAUGUGUAAUGAAUAAUAAAAAGAAAAUCUACGAAGAUUUAUAAUAGGGAAAUGAUACUGACAACGUAAACAAAUAUUUCAGUUAAAAGUUAACCUACUAAAAUUCAAUAUCAUCUCGUUGAGGUUACAAAGUCAAUUUUCAUUAUGUAUUACAACGGAACAUGUGCGGAAGAAACAUCUAAAAGGAGAUUCAGUUUAUCGUUGCACAGCGAGAGAAUGUAGCACAUUGUACGCGGUGCAAAGUAAUAGGAAUGUCAGCUCUAUAUUACAACGUGUCCAACGAAGCAUUGUGUUUGAAGGAAUGCGCUCUACCUAAGCCACGCUUUCUAAGUAUUUUCAAACUUCUUUUUCCACAUAUAUUUCCUUCAUCAUAUAAUCAGUUGCGAAGUAUCAAUAAACAAUUCUAGUUCAUUUGUAAAAAAUUCAUACCAUGCAAUGAAAUAUCGGCAAUUGAUU